AACGGCCGUACCAUGCUGAAUAUACCGGUUCUCGUUAGAUCACCGAAGUUAAGCAUCAUUGGGCGCGGUCAGUACUUGGGUGGGUGACCACCUGGGAACACCGCGUGC
rnacentral:rRNA from 1 species